rnacentral:tRNA from 1 species
CACUUAAUGGGCGAUGUGGCCAGCACCAUCGGCGCUGUGAUCGCCGGCAUUGUCAUCGCGUUCACGGGCCUAAACUGGUUCGAUCCGCUGGUGAGCGU